CCUACCCAUCAGUCACGCAGCCGACAAUACCUAUAUUUCGAAUGUUUUUAUUAAAAAGCAAUUUAUUAACUCAAUAAUUUAUUUGGGAAUAAUUAAUCUCACAAGUAUAAUAAAUACAGAAUACAGUUAUUCUCAACACUUUGAAUACGUAUUAUAUAAACAUACAUCUAAUUAUGUAAAUAAAAUUAAAAAAAAAUUGAAAAAAAAAUUUCGUGGAUUAUUCAUUGUAACACGACAGAAACUAUUUUUUUUUUCAUCAAACUACAUUAUAAUUAACCAUAGACAAGCCAAUUUUAUGGUAACAGUCUAUAAAUACAUUUUUAACAUUGUUUUUUCUAUACCCUAAACACUGAUCUCUUAACGUCAUAUGAUAUUAAAUAUUUUAAAACGUUAAUUUUUAACUAUACGUUAAAAUAAUCAACUAUAUUGGUAAAAUCACAAUUCUCCUAAUAAUAACAUUUAUAAUAUUGCACAAAAUAGACACCGAUCGCGAUUACAAAGUUACAUUAUAUAUUUGAGCUGUCAUUUUAUCAACAAGCAUUCAAAAUGGCUGUCCGUGAAAGCGCGCGAAAACUGACAGUUCGUCGCCAUUUUUAUAUUUCUCAGUCAUUUGUGAACGUUUACAAAUGUUAUACAUAUUCAAUUACAAACAAUAAUUAAAAACGAUAGGUAUUAGUUAAGUUAAAUCAAACAAUAUUUUAGAUUAUGGCUCAGAUGACAUAGCCUUUAAGUAUUAUGACCAUCUAAGGUUUAUGGUAUCUAAGGUCUUAAAAUUUAUUUUAUUUAUUUCGAGAAAAAUAUGCAAUCUUUUUUAAAUAUUUCCCAUGAAAAUAUGUUCUCUAGAUUGUGCCGCUACCUAUGUAUUGGAACGUAAAAAACUGAUAUGUUAAUAUAUUGUACAUCACAAUGCAUAAAUAUUAUAUUUUAGGCCUAACUAUAGACGACUGAUAAAAAUCGGCUCGACAAAAGUCGGUGAAAAAAUAAUAUUUAAAAAAUUAUUAUUAGUUUACUAACAUGACGGGAUAGCCUAUGUCAAAGAAAAGGAUACCUAGAACAUGAUAAUUAAUAUGAACUAGAGGAUACCCUCGGCUUCGCCCGCAUGGAUUUCGGGUUUUUAAGAUCCCGGAGGAACUCUUCAAUUUCUUGGAUAAAAAGUAGCCUAUGUCUUUCCCCGGGAUAUAUUCCAAGUCUGUACCAAAUUUCAUUAAAUCGGCUCAGUGGUUGGGCCGUGAAAACGUCGCGACAGACAGAUAGACAGACAGACAGACACACUUUCGCAUUUAUAAUAUUAGCAGGUAAUAAUUAGUACGUAUUAGUAGUAAUAGAAAAUUGGUCACCUAAUCGUCACUAACCAAAAUUGGCUGUUGUCGGAUAUAAAUUGGAGUCCGAUUAUAAGCAGUCGUCUGCGUUAUGCCUAAUGAAAAAAAGUCUCAACGAAACUGUCAAUUUUGUCCCACCUUAGCAACUCGAGCAUAAUAUCAUAUUUUAUUCAAAAUAAUGGUAGAGGUAGUACACGGAAGAUUGAAAUGGUUUUAAUAAUGUUAAAAACGUUACGAGUACGAAAAUAGCUCAAGGUUCUCAAACUUUGCGCGACGAUUCAUUAAAAUAUUCCUAUUUUCUUAUAUACAUUUAUAGAAUAAUUCCUCUCAUAUUGACCUUUUUUAUUUUACUUAUUACAUUAUAUAUAGGUAUUUUAAAUUUACUACCGAAGAUAUGCUUCAAAUAAUGAAGUGAAAACUUUUACUCAUACGACCAUAGAUAGAUAUUAAUUAUGUGUAUUGAACGAUUUGAGCGAUUUAGAUCAACGCAUUUAGAAAAUUUAAAAUAACUAAAUAUAAAAAGAGGACCACAGAUUUAUCGUACUGAUCUGUUUUUAUUUUUAUGAUGACUUUAGGUUUUAGUUGUAUUAAUAGCCAAACUUUUUUCAGAUUACCGUGUUCUAUCUUAGACUGUACGUACGUGUCAAUAUAAAAAAAAGAAAUCGUGCUCAGUGCCUAAACUAAACCAAAAUUAAAACUGGAAAAUAGAUUCCUAUACAAUAUUUUGCUUAUUUCAAGUGAUUAUUAAGUCAAUAAAUCGCUCAAUGCAUCCAAUAUCCAUCACUAAGACUAAAAGCAUUUGCGCACAUGUAGAUAAAGGAAAAACCAUUAAAAUGCAUAGCAAAAAUAACGAAAAAAGCACUUUUUAAGUCCCACCAAAUCUCCCAUUCUAUGCUACACUCGCAUCCAAAAAUUCGGGAGUAAAAAAUAUAUUUAUUUUAGCGCAGAGCUAUAAAUGAUUUCAAGUAACCACAGAAUCUAUACACCGAGCCUUGAGUCUUUCUUAUAGGCUAGAGUUUUAGAUUUUUUUAACUUUAUCAAAGUUACCGUCAUUAGUACUAACAUAGUAUUGAUUGAACCGACACUUGUUUCGAAACUUUCAAUGCUUAUGAAUUACAAAUCAUUCAUUUUAAGGUAAAACUACUUUUUAUUCACUAUGUUAAAUUUCUCAACUAGUAUCGGUGUAACCAAUAAUGGCUCAGAUACUAUAUCUAAAUCUCUAUAAUAUUUUUACGAGCUAUUUUACAUCUGUUGGCAUUUUUUUUUCUAAAAUCGGGUUCUGAAGCUCGGUCGAGGGGUAGGUAGAGGUUUUUCUAAAUCCAAUUUUACUAUUUCAGUUUUUCAACUAAGUUACAAACGUUGACCUGUCUAUAAAUCUAUAACAACAAACUACUUGUAUUUACUAUGAACUAUUUAUCAACGUAGGUACACAAUUUUUUAAUGUAGUAAAUAUUUUCAAACUUUCCUUUUUCUUAAAGUUAAAAAAACUGCAGUUGAUGUUUUUUUAGUUUUAAAGAAAUAUCCGGUGAUGUCAUGUCAACAAAUAGUUCACAAUUGUUAUAAAAUAUUCUACAUUCUUCUAUAAAACCUUUAUAAAUGUAUACAAUAUUGAAACGGGAUCGUCAACAUCAAUUUGUCUAAGUACAUCACGGAAUGUAAGCUUCAUAACAUUAUAGUUAACAACAAGCGUAAAAUCUAUUUUAGUACAAUUUACAAUAUGUUUUAAUAAAAUAAAAAAAAUCAAACUUUAGUGUUUAAUAACCAAAAUGGCAUCCAGAAAAUAAUGCACAUCACGUUCCCUAGUUUCAAUAUCUUUUUCCAAAAAGUUUUUUUUUUUCAAUUUGCAGUCCAAUCGUUCGGGUAUUUUUGACACAAGUUAUUGCGAAGGUGCACAUUGGCAGUUCUUUAAUUUAUUAUAUUAAUUAGUCCCCAUUGCGCAAUUCAUUAAAUAUAAGUCCGUAUAGCAAAAGUUUUUAAACUCGCUAUAAAUAUGUCAUGUUAAUUAAUUUAAAGAAUCUAAACAAUUUAACAAAGAAGACUCGCUAAUGAAAUGUUAACAAUUACGAUUAAAAAAAUCAUCUACUCAUUUUUGUGCGAUACGAUACGACCAUUUAUCAUUAUUUUAACUACAAUUUAACAGUUAUAUUAUUAUUAAUAAAUAAAAUAUAUCUAACCACUUAUUUAAAACCUUAACAUCAAAUUUUUCAACUCUUACAUUUAAACGUCAAGUAUUUUUGUAGAAAGAGCAUUUAGCACAGGUAAUAUUUUGUAUUAAAUUAAUUGAAAAAAUAAUAUACAUAAUAGUAUAUGUGUAUUUAAACAUAAUUAUAAAAAUAAGUCAGAUGGCAAAGAUCCUAAGAUAAGGUAUAAUUACAUAUUAAUAAUAAUUAUUUUUUAAUUAAUAAUAAUGAAUUUAAAAGUUAUUAUUUCAAUAUUAUUAGAUAUCUAACUUAAUUUGAAUACCUACCUAGAAUAUAAUCGGUCCACAAAAUACUGUUUUCUGGUGAGUAAUGUAAAAAAAUACUGACUAACUAAUGUGAUAGUAAAAAUAAUAAUUAAUUUCACAAAAUUCUAGAGGUAGACUUACGAAAAGCAAAACCGUUGAAGUAAAUUAGUUCUAAUUUUAUAUGACCAGGCGUUUAUUUUGUUAACUUACCUUAGUUACCUAGUAGGUAGGUACUAUCUAUGUUUUACUUAAACUUAAACGAAACUAACAUUCGUGUUUUGAUAAAACAAAACAUUUGAAUAGUUUGUAUAUGACGGUAUAAUAUACUGUUAAUUUGUAAUGUACUUUGCAAACGUUUUCUUUGACAUAACUUUAUAAACUUAACUAAGUAUAAAUUGAAAUAAUUUUCGAAAUUCAGAAAGAGCGCCAUAGACCAUGAAAAUUUGAGACAUCGAUAUCACUAUGUAAUAAAUGGCUAAGUAAAAAAUGUAAGGUAAGUUUGUGAUUGGACUAAGCUUUGAAGUAUUUAAAAAGCCAAGUGCGAGCCGGACGCUUGCACAAAGGGUUCCGUACUACCACACAAUAUAAAUACUUCUAGUAAAUAACAAUAUAGACGCUAGAGCAACAUUAAGGCGACAAAAUACGAGGCGCUAAAAUGGUAGCGCCUAGCAAACAAUUCAGCACCCUCUGAAUACGGAACCCUAGUUUAGCCUAAUUAUUAAGUGUUACUGAAAUAUUAUGUUCUACAAAAUUUGGUCUUUGACACUUGAACCUAUCUAUUG